CCAGCACCUAACUUUCUGUAUGCAAGAAAAUUAGAUUACAUUAAUUUUUUAAUUUUAAAAAAUUCCAAUGGCCAACAUACAUUCUACUGGAGAAAAUGUUCCCCCACCUCUUGCCAUAAAAUCUCCAUAGCCCCCAAUUUUAGUAUUUUGCCCAUCCAAAGGAGACAAAUACAGCAUGCUUUGUUAUUUUUCUCUGUCCAACACCAGACAAUUUUACUUGUCAAGGGUACUGUAAGGUUAAGUGAAUAAUAAAAAGUGGCUUGAUAUUCUAUACUUGCUCCAUAUAAUUGGACUUUGGUUGUGAGCAAAAUGUAAAAAGACAAUUACCA